UACAGAGGUCUCAAGCGUUGUUCGGAUUCAUUGGGCGUAAAGGGUGCGUAGGCGGCGCGGUAAGUCGGGUGUGAAAUCUCGGAGCUUAACUCCGAAACUGCAUUCGAUACUGCCGUGCUUGAGGACUGGAGAGGAGACUGGAAUUUACGGUGUAGCGGUGAAAUGCGUAGAUAUCGUAAGGAAGACCAGUGGCGAAGGCGGGUCUCUGGACAGUUCCUGACACUGAGACAUCGAAGGCCAGGGGAGCAAACGGG
rnacentral:rRNA from 1 species